rnacentral:lncRNA from 1 species
GGAGUUAGCGACAGGGAGGGAUGCGCGCCUGGGUGUAGUUGUGGGGGAGGAAGUGGCCAGUUCAGGGCCUCAAGGGACAGACAGGGAGAAAUGACUGAGUUGGAUGAGACUAGGGGGCGGGCUGGAGGUGCGAGAAGGAAGCUUGGCAAGGAGACUAGGUCUAGGGGGACCACAGUGGGGCAGGCUGCAUGGAAAAUGUCCGCAGGAGCCCCCAGGGAGGACAGCCACGCUCCAGGCCAGGCUGUCCCUACUGCCUGCUGGAGGGGGAACUUGACCUCUGGGAGGGCGCCGCUCUUGCAUGGCUGAGCGAGCCCGGGUGCGCUGGUCUGUGUGGAAGGAGGAAGGCAGGGAGAGGUAGAAGGGGUGGAGGAGUCAGGAGGAAUGGGCCGCUGCAGCCCUGGAAAUGAUCAGGAAGGCAGGCAGUGGGUGCAGGGCUGCAGGAGGGCCGGGAGGGCCGAGCUUCAACUUGUCCAUGCCAGCAGCCCCUUUUUUUCCAGUCCAAGGGCUGUGAACCCGCCUGGGGAUGAGGCCUGGUCUUGUGGAACUGAACUUAGCUCGACGGGGCUGACCGCUCUGGCCCGGGGUGGUAUGUAAUUUUCGCUCGGCCUGGGACAGGACCCAGGCCGGGCCCAGCCUGGUGGAGCGUCCAGGGCUGGGUGCGAAGCCAGGCCCCUGGGCGGAGGUGAGGGGUGGUCUGAGGAGUGAUGUGGAGUUAAGGCGCCAUCCUCACCGGUGACUGGUGCGGCACCUAGCAUGUUUGACAGGCGGGGACUGCGAGGCACGCUGCUCGGGUGUUGGGGACAACAUUGACCAACGCUUUAUUUUCCAGGUGGCAGUGCUCCUUUUGGACUUUUCUCUAGGUUUGGCGCUAAACUCUUCUUGUGAGUUCACUCCACCCCUUCUUCCUCCCUUUAACUUAUCCAUUCACUUAAAACAUUACCUGGUCAUCUGGUAAGCCCGGGACAGUAGCCGAGUGGCUGUUGGAGUUGGUAUUGUUGGUAAUGGUGGAGGAAGAGAGGCCUUCCCGCUGAGGCUGGGGUGGGGCGGAUUGGUGCUUGCCUGCAGAGAGGGUGGGGAGUGAAUGUGCACCCUUGGGUGGGCCUGCAGCCAUCCAGCUGAGUGUUACAAAAAUGCCUCAUGGACCGUGGUUUGUUACUAUAGUGUUCCUCAUGGCGAGCAGAUGGAACCGGGAGACAUGGAGCCCCUGGCCUGUGUGAGUCCUAGCAGUGCAGGAGGGGAGACCCUGGAGGAGAGAGCCCGCCUCAAUUGAUGCCUGCAGAUUGAAUUUCCAGAGGCUUAGGAGGAGGAAGUUCUCCAGUGUUCUGUUUCCAGGCCUUGCUCAGGAAGCCCUGUAUUCAGGAGGCUACCAUUUAAAGUUUUCAGAUGAGCUUAUGGGGGGCAAUCUUAAAAAGUCCACAGCAGAUGCAUCCGGCUCGAGGGUCCAUCGGCUUUGAAUAAAUGCUUGUUCCAGAGCCCAUGAAUGCCAGCAGGCACCCCUCCUUUCCUGGGGUAAAGGUUUUCAGAUGCUGCACCUUCUAAAUUGAGCCUCCGGUCAUACUAGUUUUGUGCUUGGAACCUUGCUUCAAGAAGAUCCCUAAGCUGUAGAACGUUUUAACGUUGAUGCCACAACGCAGAUUGAUGCCUUGUAGAUGGAGCUUGCAGAUGGAGCCCGUGACCUCUCACCUACCCACCUGUUUGCCUGCCUUCCUGUGCGUUGCUCCGAGAAGUUCUUAGCCUGAUGAAAUAACUUGGGGUGUUGAAAAGCUGUUUAAUUUUAAAUGCCUUAGACUGGGGAUAUAUUAGAGGAAGCAGAUUGUCAAAUUGAGGGUGUCAUUGUGUUGUGCUAAACUCUGGGAGGGUACAAGUUGGUCAUUCCUAAAUCUGUGUGAGGAAUGGCAGGUCUAGUUUGGGCAUUGUGAUUGCAUUGCAAAUUACUAGGAGAAAGGAAUGGUGGGUAUACUGGUAGUGCUCUUUUGUUCUUGCUCCUUUUUUUUAAACUUCAACUUUACUUUUGUUAGAUUUCAUAAUACUUUUUUGGCAUUCUAGUAAGAGGACCCUGAGGUGGGAGUUGUGGGGGACAGGGAGAAGGGGACAGCUUGGCACUGGUCACGUGGGCGUUGCAGUGUGGGGGAUGGGGGUAUGCAGCUUGGCACUGGUACUGGGAGGGAUGAGGGUGAAGAAGGGGAGAGGGUUGGUUAGAGAUAUAGUGUGGGUGGUAGGAAGUGCAGGUUGAAGGGAAUUCUCUGGGGUUUUGGGGAAUUUAGUGCGUGGGUGAGCCAAGAAAAUACUAAUUAAUAGUAAGUUGUUAGUGUUGGUUAAGUUGUUGCUUGGAAGUGAGAAGUUGCUUAGAAACUUUCCAAAGUGCUUAGAACUUUAAGUGCAAACAAACAAAAAUUGUUUUGCUUUGCUACAAGGUGGGGAAGACUGAAAAAGUGUAACAAAACAGAUGACACAGAGUCACCAGUUUCCGAGAACCAAAGGGAGGGGAAAUGUCUUUACCAGCUUCCUCCUGGUGGCCAAGGCAGCCUGUUUCAGAGGGUUGUUUUGUUUGGGGUGUGGGUGUUAUCAAGUGAAUUAGUCACUUGAAAGAUGGGUGUCAGACUUGCAUACGCAGCAACAGAUCAGCAUCCUUCACUGCUCCUUAGCAACUUAGGUGGUUGAUUUGAAACUGUGAAGGUGUGAUUUUUUCAGGAGCUAGAAGUCUUAGAAAAGCCUUGUAAAUGCCUAUAUUGUGGGCUUUUAACGUAUUUAAGGGACCGCUUAAGACGAGAUUAGGUGGGCUCUUCUGGAUUUGUUACUCAUUUGUCACAGGUAUCUUGUGAUUGAAAAUCAUGAGCGAAGUGAAAUUGCAUUGAAUUUCAAGAGAAUUUAGUAUGUAAAUCGUGCCUUAGAAACACAUCUGUUGUCUUUUCUGUGUUUGGUGGAUAUUAAUAAUGGCAAAAUUUUUGCCUAUCUAGUGUCUUCAAAUCGUGUCUUUUUAACAACCGAAUAAUCUUUUGUGGUCACUGUAAAAUUAGUAUUUGGUAGCAGACAGAAUCCAUGUACCUUUGCUAAGGUUAGAAUGAAUAAUUUAUUGUAUGUUUAAUUUGAAUGUUUGUGCUUUUUAAAUGAUCCAAGACUAGAGGGGAAACUAUCACUUAAAAUCAGUUUGGAAACCAAGAGCUAAAAAGGGAAGGGGAUGGGGAUUGUGGGGAGAGAGUGGGUGAGGUGCCUUUACUACAUGUGUGAUCUGAAAACCCUGCUUGGUUCUGAGCUGCGUCUAUUGAAUUGGUAAAGUAAUACCAGUGGCUUUUUAUCAUUUCCUUCUUCCCUUUAAAUUUCACUUGAAAUUUUAAAAAUCAUAGUUAUUUUUAUCCUUGGGAUCUUUCUGUCUUCUGGGUUCCAUUUUUUAAAUGUUUAAAAAUAUGUUGACAUGGUAGUUCAGUUCUUAACCAAUGACUUGGGGAUGAUGCAAACAAUUACUGUCGUUGGGAUUUACAGUGUAUUAGUCAUGCAUGUAUGGGGAAAUAGUCUCGGGUAUGCUGUUGUGAAAUUGAAACUGUAAAAGUAGAUGGUUGAAAGUACUGGUUGUUGCUCUGUAUGGUAAGAACUAAUUCUGUUACGUCAUGUACGUAAUUACUAAUCACUUUUCUUCCCCUUUACAGCACAAAUAAAUGUUUGAGUUCUAAACUCAUUAGAAUUGUUGUAUUGCUAUGUUACAUCUCUCGACCCCUAUCACAUUGCCUUCAUAACGACGUUGGAUAUAUCUUCAUAUUGUAGAUUUAGGUCUAGAUUUGCUAGCUCCAAGUAAUUAAGGCCAUGUAGGAGCGCAUGGUAACCACAGAUAGAACUGGUAUUAUCCCAAGUGGUCUGCAGACUGCUGAGUGGGGAUGGGAUCUGCUCUCUGUUGGAAGUUGGUAAUCAUUUGUUUGAAAUGUGAUGAGACCACUCAAGCCAAUGAAGGUGGGCGUGUAGGUGGGGAGUACUUUGCCAUAAUAUUUUAAAACAUUACCUGGUUAGAGUUCUAAGUGGUACUUAUUUUUGUUUGGUUAGGGGAAAGCCUGAAUAAAAACAGAAAUGGACACAUAAUAUGCAUAUUCCAUAGUCUUUGGGAGGCUGGAAUGUGCCUGGGAUUUGGGUCUAAGUGUAUGCGUAAUUCUUAUCUCACUAAAGAAUUUGCCUUGUUUUUUUCCUUUUGGUGAGUGACUAAAACGUCUGGGCUUCCCUGUGUGCGUGCUACACUAAGCAAGCAGAGGCUGUGCAGAGGUGUGAGCCAGAAUCAUGUGGAAUCUGGAGGAUACAUCUUGGCUUGCAAACUGCCUCUGUGUCCUGGGUGGGACUGUUCUGUCCUUGCACUGCUGUUCUGUGUUACCUCUUGGGGUGUAAGGUUUUGCUUACAGGAGACAAACUUUGGGCGUAGAAUGGAAGUCACUGCCAGCCUCUGUGCUGAGAAGGAAGGUGCUUGUUUCAAAGGGAGCAGCAAGGGAGGCUUGUUCUACUCACCUGGGCCUGUUUGCCUGAGAAGGGGAGAUAAGGGCUGAACUGGGACUAGCCAGGGGGACCAACACAAAUGGUGGGGGAUCAUGACCUGAAGGAUUCUUUCCUUCCCAUGAGCUGCGGGACUGGUUGCUGUCCCUGCAACUGUGUCUUGUUUGCCUGUGCCAUUGUAUCUUGGUGACCCGUCCACGUGUACACUACUGACAAACGGGUGGAGUGCUGGGAAGAAGUCACUGAGCCGCCCACCUAGUAAACCUUCUGUCUGUGCUCAUGGCACCGCCAAGAUGGGGCACUGCUGUGUGCAGAAUCCAGGGUCCUCUUUCUGCUUGCCACUCCUUUCCCUAGAUGCCCCGGAAACAAUCCAGGCCUCCUUUCCUAUCUUACCCCUUUGCUUUGCUUUUUACCCCAGCACCUCUAUAACUGCCUUCUCUUUUCAGAACUUGUUUCUCGUCUUGUUUUUUAUGAUUACAAAACUCUUUCUUCCACCCUGGAAAAUAACUGCUAUAGACGCCUGUAUGUAAAUGGUGCUGUCUCCAGCAACUGGCAUGCUGAAGAAUUGACUCAUAGGGUAUAAAUGUUGGGGAUUGGAAGUGGGGAUGAAAUGGCACUUGUUGAUACAGGAGCAGAGAGGUGAGGCUGACUGCUGAAGACAGCUCGCCACCCUCCUUGCCUCCACUCCAAUCCAGGGGCUGGGGCCACAUUCUUUGCCUUCAUUUACCCUCAGAUCAGGUGAGAUCGACAGGAGGUGUUGAUGGCAGUGCCAGCAAUUAUUGCUAAUCCGUUUGCAUCCUUAUGCAUAGAUCGGAAUUCACUUUGUGAAUUUCCAGAGGUGUGGGUAAUAUAAUGGAAUUCAGUGAGUGGGCAUGGCUUAUCUUGUGCAAAUUAAAAGUUAUGGGGCAUAAGAAUAACAAAAGUUGAACUUGAACUUUUAAAAAGGAAAGUACCCUGAGAGCCAGUAUUGGUUGAGGCUCCUCAGUAUGCCCAGGUUGGCAGCACUGAGAACUGCAGGAACAGCCUGUGUUACAAAAAGGAGAUUGACUCAGCUGCCCUUGGUGCAUCUUACUGACUAUGACUGCUGAGAGAUUCCAAGGACCCUUAAUGCCAGGACUAACCUCUCCAUGUGCAGUGAGGCCUCUGGAGGAAGUGUUAUCCUCUGGCUUUGUGUGGUACUCAUUAUGGUGCAGUGCUGGCAUGAAAUGAAGACAUGCCCAAAUAGGCUUACAGAUAUUUAUGAUAUGUUUUAAAUGUUCAUAUUUAACAAACAAAAACAUACUGAUGCUGUUUGGAAAUGGCAACAAGAAGAUAGCAAAAUGAAUACUAACAUUACGAAAAGAUGAGCAGGUACAUGUUCCAAGGCAGGUGGCUGUGACCUUCCUCUGGGUGAGGGCAUCCCCUCCAGCACCUUUCAGCCUGCUGGUUAGGACGACCCGCCGCCACCCUCCAGGACUCCCAGCCCUGCACUGCCUUUCCUCUCUUUUAAAUAAUUCUUCAUUGAGUUCUAAUAUGUUAAAAAAAAAAAAAAAAAAAAAAGUUUACUGUAAAGUUUGCAAAUAAGGAAAUUUUUUUUAAAAGUCCUCAGUAAUCUUACCAGUAACAAUUGUUAUGGGCACAUUUGCUUUUGGAGGAUUUCUUUUGUAUGCAUGGGAUAAGUACAUUUUUAAACAAAAAUGGGAUUAUGCCAUAAAUUUAUUUUGUGACUUUAAUAUAUAGUGAACACCUAUUUAAAUGAUGACAGGAUGUUCCCUUGCAUGGCUGUAUCAAUUUAAACAAUCUUGUUUCAAUAGACAUAUAGGGUAUUUUCUAGUUUUUUUUCCUCUUAGAAAAUAAUACUUGUGAUGACUUUCCUUGUAGCUCAGACUUUUUCACGUCUGUUGUUAUCUCUUUGGGAAUGCUGAAUACAUACACUUCAAGAAGGAAAUGACUCUGUUAAACUCUUAAGACUUCAGGUUCGUAUUGCUAAACUGCCCACCAGGGAGGGAUUUUUUCAAUUAGUGUUCUCACUAGUGAGGCAAACCUGAUGCCUUCCCCUCUUCCUCAGAACGGGCUUUAUCACAUUGAAAACCUUUGCUCCUCCAACGGAUCGAGUCUGCUUUCCCUGUGGGUGUGAGCAUUGCUUUGUCUGCUGGCCAUUUGUGGUGUGUGUGUGUGUGUGUAUGAUUUUCUAAUUCCUAAUUAGUCAUUUUUCUGUUGGUUGUUUUGCAAAAGCUAUUUACAUCUUAAGGAUAUUGAUAAUCUUUUGUUAUGUUUGAUGCAAGUAUUUUUUUCCAGUUUAUAGGUUGCCUUUUAAUUUUGUGUUUCAGGUAGAUAAAGUUACGUGAUUUUCUUAGGUUAGUUUAUCACUGUGGUUUCUGAACUUGUUAUGUGUAGAUCUUUUCCACCCCAAGAGUACAUAAAUAUUAAUCCAUACUUUCUUGUGGAACUUGUAUGGUUUCGUUUUUUACAUUUAAACCUUAUUCCCCGUGGUGUGUGUUGUGGAGUCUUUAAACCUUAUUCCCCGUGGUGUGUGUUGUGGAGUCUGUGUGUUUGUGUGAGGAGGGACAUGGUGCUCUCAGAGCCCACCUCCUGUGGCCAGAGAGCCCUGUCCUGUGAGGGUUGUUGUCACAGUGGCAGGGUUCACUGCAGAAGACCUCGAGGGCAGGCUGGUGUUUCCUGAAUGGGCCCCUGGUUGUUGCUCAUCCCUGACUCUCCAUUUCCCCAUCUGAGUGGGUUUGGACCUAAUAGGGCACUGGAGCUGGUUCGAAUCCUGACUGGACUUCUUGGCAACUUUAUGUCUGGGAGCAAGUUACUUAACCUCCCCGAGCCUGUGUCUGUGAAAUGCGGGUAAAGAAUGUAGAUAUUUGGCAGCAGCUACUCCUUGUUGAGCUCUCACAGUGAACUCUCCUGCCUCUGCCCUCCUUCCCCGCCUCCUCUGGUGCCUAGCGUCAGGUCCAGCCACUUCCUGCUGGGCCCCUCUCCCUUUUCUGUGGCUGGCUGCCUGCCGCCUGGCUCUGGACCUUUCAAGCAACGGGAAUCAGCGUGUAUAUUCUGGUCUGGUCUGUUUCUACACUUAAUUUUGUUUCCAGUAGUGUUUCCCUGUACCAGCAGAGUUCACAAACACAUUUGAAGAGGUUUUUUCUCAGGAUUCUUAACCUUCCCAAAGGAAGUCCCAUGGAUGGGUUUCUAGAAGUCUAUAAAUGCUCUGAAAUUGUAUUUUUCUGUGGAAAGCAUAACUUUUAUCUGCUUGUUCAUGCUCAAAAAAGAUCAUGAAUGAAUGAUUGCAUGAUUUUUUUGCCAGUGUGCUUAUACUAAAGGAUAUUUAGCCCAUCUCUUGAGUUGUUAAACUGUUUUGACUAUUUUAAAUCGUGCAGCUGUGAGCAUCUCUGUACAUGUGUAUCUCCUGGAGUGGCAUUGCCUCGGCAGUGAGCACUUAACGGUUUCAUAACUCUCUUCACAGACUCAAAUGACUCCAGAAAGCUACACUUCCUGUUGUGAGUAUAUUAUAUCCAUUUCCCUAUAUAGCCACUAACAUCAGGUUUUUACAAUUUUAUUUAUUUAUUGCUACUUUAAGAAAUUUUUGUGUGAAAUACAUAUAAUAGAAGUUUACUAUCUGAAUCAUUUUUAAGUAUACAUUCAGUAGUGUUAUGUCGCCAUUGUUGUACAACCAAUCUCCAGAACUUUUUCAUCUUGCAAAACAAACUCUGUACCCAUUAAAUAACAUUAAACAUUCCAUUCCCUCCAGCCUCAGCAACCCCAUUCUUUCUACUUUCUGUUUCUGUGAGUUUGACUAUUCCAAGCACUUCAUAUCAGUUAAAUCAUGAAGUAUUUGUCUGUCUGUGACUGGCUUAUUUCUCUGAGCACAGUGUCCUCAAGAUGCGUCUAUGUUGUAGCAUAUGUCAGAAUUUCCAUAAUAUUCUUACUUUAUAUCAUUUUUUUAACCCAUUCAUCCAUUAGUGGAUGCUUGGGUUGCUUUUGGCUAUUGUAAAUAAUGGUGCUAUGUACAAAUAUCUAUAUUAUUGUAUUUACAAGUAUAAUGCUGUAAUGUACACACAUCUUUUUGAGAUCCUACCUUCAGUUCUUUUGAGUAUAUAGCCAGAGUGGUAUUACUAAAUCUUAUGGUAUUUCUAUUUUUAAUUUAUUGAGGAACCACUGUAUGUUUUUCAUAGCAACUGCACCAUUUUACAUUCUCACCAAGAGUGCACAUGGGUUCCGAGGUUCCCACAUCCUCCCCAACAGUUGUUAUUUUCUGCUUUUUUUUAGAUCGCGGCCAUCAUAGUGGGUGUGAGGUGACAUUUCAUUGUGGUUUUGAUUUGCAUUUCCCUAAUGAUGAGUGAUGCUGAGCAUCUUUUCAUAUGCUUACUGGUCAUUUGUAUGUCGUCUUUGGAAAAAUGUCUAUUCAAGUCCUUUGACUAUUUUAAAAAUUGGGUUAUUAGAGUUAUCGUUGUUGUUGACUUGUAGGAGUUUCUUUCUAUAUUCUGGAUAUUAAUCCCCUAUCAGAUAUAUGAUUUGCAGAUAUCUUCUCUUAUUCCAUAAGGUUACUUUUACACUUUGUUGAUUGUAUUCUUUGAUGUACAGAAGUUUUUAGUUUUGAAAUAGUCUAAUUUAUCUGUUUUUACUUUUGUGGUCUGUGCUUUUGGUGUCAGAUCCAAGAAAUCCUUGCCAAAUUCAAUGUUAUAAGGUAUUUUUAAGGUAUUUUAGUUGUCUUAGUCUAUAUUUCUGUACUCACCUUUCUUUAUCCACUCAUCAGUUGAUGGGCAUGUAGGUUGGUUCCGUAUCUUUGCAAUUGUGAAUUGUGCUGUGAUCAGGUGUCUUUUUGGUAUAAUGAUUUAUUCUCCUUUGGGUAGAUACCCAGUAGUGGGAUUGCUGGAUCGAAUGGUUUUUAUAAUUUUCUAUUUUACCACAGUUUCUAUCUGCAUUUUUCCUCUUUGACCACUAACCAUGUGAAAUUCUCAUAUUGACCUUUAUAAUGAUCAUGAACUCUUAGUGUCAUUGGCAAGGCCACAUUUGUCACUUAUGAUUGUAAACCUUAUCCUCCAUUUUUCCUGUUAUUGUUGGUGCAAAAAGCACCUAUUAUACUAGGACUUUAAAAAUCGGUCUGAUAAGUCUUUGAUAAGUCUAAUAAUAAUAACUGAUACGUCCAUUGAAUUUGCUUCUGAUUACUUUUUCUUUAGUAGCUAAACAUGUAUGUACUUCUAUGGUUACAAUGAACACUCCUCUCCAUUUAAAUUAAUUAUUUACACUGAUGAAAUAGCAAAAUUUUAAUGACUAAAUACUGUCUUGGUUUUUUUGUUCUAGGUCAGUCAAUAUUAACUUCUUAUAAUUUUCUUUUUUUUCUUCGUGUGUGUGUGUGUGUAUUUUUUUUUUUUUUAAUUUCAAUGGCUUUUGGGGUACAAAUGGCUUUUGGUCAUAUAGAUGAAUUCUACAGUAGUGAAGUCUGAGAUUUUACUGCACUGGUCACCCGAGUAGUGUACAUUGUACCCAAUAUGUGGUUUUUAAUACCUCGCACCCCUCUUACCCUCCCCACUUUGAGUCUCUAGUGUCCAUUAUGUCACUCUGUAUACCUUUUUGUACCCAUAAGUUAGCGCUCACUUAUAAGUGAGAACACACAGUAUUUGAUUUUCCAUUCCUGAGUUGCUUCACUUAGAAUAAUAUCCUCCAGCUCCAUCCAAAUUGCUGCAAAACAAACAAACAAAAAACAUUAUUUUGUUCUUUUUUAUUGCUAAGUCAUAUUCCAUGGUGUAGAGAUACCACAUUUUAUUUAUCCACUUACUGGUUGAUGGGUUGGUUCCAUAUCUUUGCAAUGGUGACUUUUGCUGCCAUCAAGUGUCUUUCUGGUAUAAUGACUUCUUUUCCUUUGGGUAGAUACCCAGGAGUGGGAUUGCUGGAUCAAAUGGUUCUUAACAUUUUCUGUCUGGAUCUAUUUCUGGAAAUUUUAGGCUCCAGUUUUUGCUGUUGUUUUUAAUAAAAUGCAAUGGAAUGUAAUGAUCAUCACUUUUCAUUAUGCUUUAAAAUCUGGUAAAUGGAGGCUAGAACACUCCUCUAAGGCAAGAAUAUUCUCUCUCUGUUGGAACUCAAAUACACAGAACUGGGUAAAUCUUAAUCUUUGGUUCAGGACAUAACAUGGCUCUCUUUUAUUUGCUUUCUUUAAUUGUUUUUUAAUAAUGUGGUAAGCAUUUCUAAAUCUCCUAUGCAAUACAAAAACUAGGACGAUACAAACAGUAACUCCUAUGGUUACAAUGAACACUCCUCUCCAUUUAAAUUAAUUAUUUACACUGAUGAAGUUGAAAUAGCAAAAUUUUAAUGACUAAAUACUGUCUUUGAUUUUUUGUUCCAGGUCUGUCAAUAUUAACUUCUUAUAAUUUUCUUUUUUUUCUUUGUGUGUGUGUGUGUUUGUAUAUAUAUUUAAUUUCAAUGGCUUUUGGGGUACAAAUGGCUUUUGGUCAUAUAGAAGAGUUCUACAGUAGUGAAGUCUGAGAUUUUACUGCACCUUCCACUUAUGUGGUCCCACACCACCCGCCUCCCCUGCCGCCCCCUGCCGCCCCCUGGGCCCAGGUACUAAUCAUCCUGAAUCCUGGGUUUAUCUCUCACUUGCUUUCUUUUCAUAUAACUUUGCAAAAGAAUCUGAUCUAAAUGUGUUUUUCAGAGUAUAUAUUUAUAUUUUAGUUGUUCUUAACUUAUAGAAAAGUUACUAUUUUGCAUGUAAUGUUAUGGAACAUUCUCAUUUAAUACGAUGGUAAGAUUCAGCCCUUGCCCAGGGGGUAGUUCAUUUAGUUUGUUUACUGGAUAGAGCUCAUCAUGUGACUAUACCUCAGUUAGUUGAUCAGUUCUCCCAUCCAUGGUGACUAGGUUGCCUCUCAGCCUCUCAACAACACUGUUUCUCAGUGUCCUUGUAGAAGUGAUAUGUGGGUGUUUUCUCCUUACGCAGAGUUGAAAGGUGACGACAACAACGUUGGCACUACCAAUCCCCCACCCUCCAGAGGGGUAACCAGUGUUACCAGUUUGCUGUGUUUCCUGAUACACCUCUUCUUAUUCACUUCCAUUUGUAUCUGAAAAAUGUGUUGCAUUGUUUCUUUUCUAUAGAAGUGGUAAAAUACUAUUGUAUCCUGUACAUUAUUGAUUACUUUUUUUCAUUUAACAGUAGGGAGAUGCCUGGGAGUACACAGAGAACUGCCCUCAUUGUUUUCAACUUCUGCACUAUAUGUCUGUGAGUUUAGCCAUUCUGCUAUUAAUGGAAAUUUACAGUAUUCUAAUCUUUUGAUAUUACAAACAGUACUGUGUGAUCAUCGUCAUACACAACCCCUUGUGCACAAUGCAUGAGUGUUUCUCAGGGCAGGUACUAAGAAGUGAAAUUCCUGGGUCAUAGGGCAUGAGUCCGACAUUUUCCUCCAUUCUGCCCUGUUGCCCUCCAGAGUGGGUGUCCAGCUUUGCAUACCUAAGUAUGAGAGUAUCUGUUGUUCAUAUCCUCUACGACGCUCCAUAUAUGAAACUUAAAUUUCUGCUAGUUGCCGUCUUUGAUCUAUCAUGUAUGCAGUGACCUACUAAGACUUUAAUUGGUACAGUAGAUUCUUGUCAUCUGUGUGUGAAUUUAGCAUUCAUGGGCUUAAUGCUGAUAAGGCCCCCAGGGUCCAAGACAUAUAAUCAUGUAUCAUUUUGUCAAGGUAUAAUUUUUUAAAUUGCUCUUGUCAUGUGUCUGCUGGGGAUGCCCAACCCGGUGCUCUGCACCUAGGUCACACUGUGGCUUUGUCCUCUGCUUACGUCUGCAUUGCAGCAACUGUCCUGAAGAGACCAAAAUUAUGCAGAUUUAGGUAAGUCCAUAGCUAAUGUUAUUACAUUAUGUGCUAUUGUAAUGGAUGGGGCUGUGGAGUGUAUGAAUUUAUAAAUCACUGGUCUUGUAAUUAAAAUUCAAACACUAAAGAAAAAGGCCACGUAGAAGAUAAAAGUUCCUCUAUAAUCCCGGACCCCUAAGAUAACUACUCAUGACAACUUCAUUUAUAUUCCUUCAGACAUUUUCUGGCUGUAGAUGUUCUAAAAUGUAUCCUAUUAUUCUCUGCUCUAAAAUGGAAUCAUGUAAGGUGUACUGUUAUUUUUAUGGCUCUGUGACAUGUAAUAUUGUGCGUGUUUGUAUGGUUAUUUUAACCAUUUUUCUAGUGAUGGCUUUGAGGUUAUUUGCAGUUUCCUAGCCAUCUCAAAGAGUGCUGCAGGGAUCUCUUUUGCAUUCCUCUGGGUGCAGAGCUGAGGCACCCAGAGGCAGUGUCCAGAGGAGGCAGCAUCUGUAGGCAUCUUCACCUGCUCUGGCUCUUGGCACAUCUGGUUUGUGACACUGUUUUGUGAGAUGGGUUGAAAGUAUGUGCUGCCAAAAUAGAAUAAUGUUGGUCUUCUCCUCAUGUGCCGUGGAAUUUGGGUAAAACUGCUUAGUGGCUACAACUGCCUGUCCAUACCAGAAUCGAGUAUAACAUGGUGCCUGGCUUAGCACAAAACAGUAGUGGAUCCUGCAGGUCCCAGAGUCUAAUUCCUGGUAUUCUUUCCCCUAUGCAGAUUAAACAAACAAAAAACAAACUAUUCUAGGAAAGCAUCUGUGACAUUUGUAAAAAGUGGUAUUUAAUGAUCUUUUAUUCACUUGUCUAUUUAGUUUGUUGAAAUCUUAAGUGGCAUCCUGGUCUGGGAAGGAGUGCUGUCUGCACCUCCUCUCCGCUGGGCACAGCGUGGCUGCUUCAGGGGCUAAGUACACACUUUCUGUCUUCUAAGGGGCCGCCACAUGCCAGGAGCUCAGGUGUGAGCCCGGCUCUGGCUCUUACCUCAUAGGGUCAUCACAGGGGCACAGGGAGCUGAACAUUGUACACAGCAAGGCACCACCCAGCUCAGCAUCUGCCCCGGUGGACUUACUACCUCUAGAAGGAAAUACCUGAGUUCCUCUGGCCUCAGCUCCUAGAGUGACUGGUGUGCUGUCCCUCGUACUCUUCUGUCAAGGUGACAACUGUGUGACCCAUCAUCUGUGUGCCAAAGCAAGGCCCUGCCUGGGCCUCUGCUCCUGUGCUGACCCCAAAGGCAAAUGCUUUGCUAGUUUCCUUCCAGUUAAUUUCACCUAUGAAUAGAUGUGUGAAAACUGUUCAAAGCAAUACCUGCACAUGUUCGAACUUAAACCCUGUGGGUGAUUCAGUGGCAUCUUUCUCUAACCCCCAGCUUCCCUUUCCACAGAGGCCACCGUCGUGGCCAGUUGCUGCAGUUUCUUUCCAGAGAACCUGUGUAUGUGUAAAGCUGUACAGGCGUGGGUACACCACACAGCCUGUCUUGCACUUCGGACUGUUAAGUUACUAGUACAUCUAGGUGAGCACCGCAUAUCUGUAUUCAUGUCUGCCUUGGUCUUUUCAACAUCUGUGUGGUAGCCGUGUUUGAAUUACCCAUUCCCUUUUUGGGGAACCAUUAAGUUGUUUCAGCAAUUUUUACUGUAGAUAAGGCUAUACCGCAUAUCUGUGUACAUGUGUUUUUAUGUACAUGGGCAAGUACAUCUGUGUGGGAAAAGUUUCCUCAGGAGGAAUUCUGGGCACAGCAUGUGUAAAUUUCUGAAUAUGAUGGACGCCCCCAGCUUCCACCUCAAGGAGGUUGGUCCCAUUGACAUUUCCCCACACCUUCACCCAGGCUGUGCUCUUAAACUUGGUUAUUUGUCAAUGUGAGAAGUGGAAAAUAGUAUUUAAUUGUAGUUUUGAUUUGUAUUUCUAUUGGGUUGUAUACUUACUGAUUAAUAAGAGCUCUUUACAUAUUAAGGAAAUUAAUCCUUUUCAAAUACAUUCCUGUUUCUCACUAAUCUUUAAGUUUUAUUGUAAUAUUUUGCUCUUUAGUUUAUAUAUAUAUAUAUAUAUAUAUACUAAUUUUCUUUUAUGGUUUCUGGAUUUUAUGAGUAGUUCAAAAAGGCUAAUCCAGCUGAAGAUUUUUUUGUUGUUGUUAAACCCCACGUUUUCUCCUAACUCUUUAUUUUUAUUUUGGAAGACUCUAUCUGGACUUAAUUUUAGCAUAACAAGUGACAGGGUUAGUUAGCCUGUUGUCCUUACACCAUUUUCCGGCUAAUACAGCUAUUAACUAUUGAUCUGUCUAUUCACGUGCCAGUUCCUAAUGGUUUUACAUAGUGUAAUCUGUACUUCAAAAUAGUGAAAGGGAAGCCCUACCUCAUUAUUCUACUUUUCCAGAAUUCUCCUGGCUAUUCCAGGCUGCGUGUUUACCUUAACCUUCCCUGUGAUGUCUUCAUGCCGUUGUCUUCUUAUGCAAGAAUAAGGUGCGUCUUUCCAUCCACUCACAUCUGUUUAAUUUGACUUUGCAUUACAUAGAAAGCUGGUCUUGGUCUGUCUACCUCGGCGUCUAGUUGUCCUCACUGCCCCUGGCUGACCCCACCCCAUCUGACUGACUACCCCAUCACAGACUACUUUUAUUUACAUUUUGCUCGCCUAAUGGUUACUUGAUACUGUCACGCCGACAGUGUCCAGUUCAAUGGUCUUUGCAGUUGAAAUGCUCCUGUACACACUGUCUUGUUAAAAAUGCCAGUAAGUUCAUACAAGCCCAGCUUGCACCCAAGGUCACAUUCAGAGAGAGUAGGGCUGGGAUGGGUUGUUUUCCAAGCCUCUGCCACUGUGUGGCUAGCUCUUCUCACUGGGAAGUUCUGUGUACCCGGAAUGUCAAAAUGGAGUCCUGUUCUAGUGUCUAGCACCUGACCCCUGUGCCCAACCCCUGAACAGCCUAUUCCUGCUGUCCACAGCCUGCUAGAACUUUUUACAAAAUAUGUUGCCAUGCUGGACCCUGGGCACUGGACAUAAGCCCCCUGGCAGCCUUUUUCAUGUUACCCAAAGGGGUAAUUGUCCUGCUGGUGGUCUGUAAGAUGAGUUAGGGUGACUUGCUAAUAGACAUUGUAAAUCUUAAUAUUUAUGUAUGUAUUUUUUUAUUACUGGUUUUCCAUUUAUGAUGGUAAUAUUGUUUCUUCUAAGAAUAUUUUUCCUUCUAAAUAUUGAGAUAAAAUUCAUGCUUUUGAAAUGUUCUAUUCAGUGGCUUUUAGUGUAUUUGCUAUGUUGUGCAACCAUCGACACUAUCCAUUUCUAGAACUUUUUCAUCAUCCCAAACAGAAGCUCUGUAUUCAUAAAAAAUAUCUUCCUACCUGUCUCUUCCCCUAGUCUUUGGUAACCUUUGUUAUACUGGUAAACUUUGUUGUGCUUUCUAUCUGUGUGAAUUUGCCUAUUUUAGGGGCCUCAUAUAAGUGUAAUCACACAGUAUUUGUCUUUUUGGGUCUGUCUGAUUUCACUUAGUGGGUUUUCAGGGUUCAUUCAUGUUGUAGCAUGUAACAGUACUGCAUUCCUUUUUCUGGCUGAAUAAUAUUCCACUGUAUGGAUAGACCCCAUUUUGUUUAUUCACACAUCAUUUGGACAUUUGGAUUAUUUCUGGGUUUUGGCUAUUAUGAACAAUGGUGCUAUGAACAGUUGCGUACAAGUUUUUGUGUGAACAUAUGUUUUCAAUUCUCUCAGUAUAUACCUAGGAGUAGAAUUACUGGGUCAUAUGGUAACUGUAUAUUUUUGAGGAACUGCCAAACUAUUUUCCCAUGUCCGUGCACCAUUUCACAUUCCCACCGGUAAGUAAGAGGGUUCCAAUUUCUGCGCGUUCUUGCCAACACUAGUUAUUAUCUGACUUUUUGGUUAUAAUCAUUCUAAUGAGUGUGAAGUAGCCUCUGGUGUCAUUUAGAUUUGCAUUUCUCAGAUGGGUGAUACUAUCAAGCACCUUUGCUGGUGCUGUUGGCCAUAUGUGUAUGUUCCCUGGAGAAGUGUCUGUGCUGAGCCUUGGCCCACUUUUUAAUUAGGCGUUUAUCUUUUUACUACUGAGUCGUAAGAGUUCUUUAUAUAUUCUGGAUUCUAGACCCUUAUCAGAUAUAUGGUUUGCAAAUAUUUUCUCCCAUUCUGUGGGUUGUGUUUUCACUUUAUUGAUAAUGUCCUUAGACAUAGAAUAAAUUUGUAUUUUAAAAGUGACUUGAUUUGGCUGUGCAAGGUGGCUUACGCUUGUAAUCCCAGCACUUUGGGAGGCUGAGGUGGGUGGAUCAUAUGAGGCUAGGAGUUCGAGAUCAGCCUGGCCAGAGUGGCGAAAACUUGUCUCUACUAAAAAUAGAAAAAUUAGUAGUGCACGUCUGUAAUACCAGCUCCUCGGGAGGCUGAGGCACGAGGAUCACUUGAACCCAGGAGGAGGAGGUUGCAGUGAGCUGAGAUCAUGCCAGGGCAACAGAAAGAGACUUUGUUUAAAAAAAAAAAAAAGUGACUUGAUUUAAGGGAAAAAAUGACUGGCUAUAUUCAGUCAGAUAUGGCAAAAAGUCUCAAGGUGUUAUGUGAAUGAUUAAGGUCUGCGGGGUGGGGGUGUCCCCUAUCAGACUACAGGUGUUUAGAGGGACAAAAAAAGGUGCAGUUGGGUUCUUAAUGUGAAAUGAUGAGAAGCACAAAUCCAGUGUGUCUCUUUGUGUGGAAUGUCAGCAGACACCCCCUGCUACAUGUGCUGGAUCAUGGGAAAGCAUUUCCAUUUGUUACUAGAUUGUUCAGAAGUUUUAAUUUAUGAUGGGUGCGGUGGCUCAUGCCUGUAGUCCCAGCACUGUGGGAGGUUGAGGCAGGAGGAUCAUUUGAAGCCAAGAGUUCAAGAUCAGCCUGGGCAACAUAGUGAUACCCUAUCUCUUAAAAAAGAAGAAUUAUUUUAAUUUGAAAUAAUAGUAGGUACUGGAUUUAUUCAAAUGUCUUUUCUGCGUCUUUUGAGAUGAGUAUCAGGUUUUUUUUCCUUUUAUCAUCUGAUGAUGAACUUAAUUUUUCCAUUUGUAUUAAUGGAAUACUAAGUCCCUCUGUGAUUUCUGAACCAAGCUAUUCCUAGGCCUGAGUUUUAUUUUGUUGACACAGAAAUAAAUUAGAAGGUCAAGUGUGGUGGCAUGUGCCUGUAGUCCUAGUUGCUGAGGUAAGAGGAUUGCUUGAGCCCAGGAGUUCAAGGCUGCAGCAAGCUUUGAUUGCGCCACUGCACUGCAGCCUUGGCGACAGACUAAGACGCUGUCUCAAAAAAAAAACAAAAACAAAAAAAACAAAACAGAAAAAAAUAAACUAAGGCAAUGACAGUCCCUGGCAAAUGCUGGGAGGGAGGCAGCAGUGGUCAGGGAAGGUAACCCUGAAGCAGGACUUGUAAAGCAAAUAAGAUUAGGAGGCCAAGGUGGGUGGAUCAGGAGGUCAGGAGUUCGAGACCAGCCUGGCCAACAUAGUGAAACCCUGUCUUUACUAAAAAUACAAAAAAAUUAGCCGGGUGUGGUGGUGGGUGCCUGUAGUCCCAGCUACUUGGGAGGCUGAGGCAGGAGAAUCUCGAACCCAGGAGAAUCUCGAACCCAGGUUGCAGUCAGCUGAGACUGCACCAUUGCACUCCAGCCUGGGUGAAAGAGCAAGACUCCGUCUCAAAAAAAAAAAAAAAAAAAAAAAAAAAAAAAAAAAAGAAGAAGAAAAGGAAUGAAUUAGAACUUCUGCUUGGACUUAAGGGCAUCAUCAGGCAGGUUGUGGGUAGGAUAGCAGGGGAGGCAGAGACACAGUCGGGGUCAGGGGUCAUGAGCGUGGCUUUGAGCCCAAAAACUUGGUUUCUGUUCCCUACUUUGCCACUCAGUAGUGCAUGACUUUGGCCAAAUUUCUUAAAUUCAUGAAGCAAGUUUCCGGGUGAAUGAAAUGGGGAUAAAAAUAGUGUUCAAACCUAUCUGUUGGUUUGUGUGAAACUGAAAUGAGUAGUAUCGUGCAGGUACUUGUGAGCAAGGGGAGCUGCUGUUUCCUGUCCCUUUAUGGUGGGAAAUAUCUAGACAAGUUCCCAACCCUCUGCACUGCAGGCUGCAUGGCCCGGAGGGUCGUGUAACACCAGCUGGGGCUGGCACUUCUUUUAGGAGCUUCAGUGGUUCUGAAAACUUUUGUUUGUUUGUUUGUUUUAGUAGAUGUGGGGUCUUUCUAUGUUGCCCAGACUGGUCUCAAACUUCUGGGCACAAGUGAUCCUCCCCCGCUCAACCUCCCAAAGUGUUGUUGGGAUUACAGGUGUGAGCCACUGUGCCCAGCCUUGAAAACUUUUUCAGGUUCUUCCAGGGUUACUGGGCUAUUAAAUAUUUCUAUUUCAUUAUAAGUCAGCUUUUCAAAGUUAUAUUAUCUUAAUUACCUUUUUUAUAUGUAUUAGUGUAGAGUAGCAUUUUAUAUUUUGAUAUCCUCCUUAUGCAUAGUUUUUUCACUUUUUAUUCCUAGUUUUUCUUUGUUUUUAAUAAGACUUUCAAGAAAUUUAUUUUAUUGGCCUUUUGAAAAAAGCAGCUUUAGAUAAAGUAAGCGGUUCUGCUUUCAUUUUAUCAUUUAUUAAUUUCUACUUUUGUUUCAUUAAUCCUUUCCUCCUGCAUGCCUUGGAUUUUGUUGUGUUGCUCCUUUUCUAGAGGCUUGCAUUGUGUGUCUGGUUCACUUAUGAUCACGCUUGCCUACUUUUAAGAAUGGAAAAGGGGUGGUGAAGGGUGGCUGUGCAGUCGAGGGUGUGAGGCAGUCUUGCUCUAGCCCCACCAUGCCCUCAGCCCGCUGUGGCCACGCUGGUUCCUCAACUGCUGGGGUGUGCAGUGUCUGUAAGGGAGGCUACUGAUGCCAUCUGAGGAAGAUGUAAGGUUUUGUGUGGGCAGCGAGAGCCUAGCAGGCAGGUGGGGUGCCCAGCAAAGGGAAACAGUGGACAGUUGUUGCCUCAUUCCACAGAGUUUUGAUUUUUUUUUUUUUUAUGGUCAUUCCAUCAACAUCCCCCAUGGCCAGAGCCUGAGCUGGUCCCCAGAGACACAGGCAUUCAGCUGAUAGCCUCGCCUUCACGCUGCUGCUGUUCUCAUGGGGGACAGGCCUCAGGUGGCAAUGCACAAAUCAUCAGUUAAGGGCAGUUGUGGUGACAGUUACCAAGGAGUGUAGUCCCCCCACCUGCCCAAUGAAAACAGCCCUAACCAGGGGUGGGGACCUUUGGGCUCUGACCUGAAGGGUAGGAGAAGCUGGAAGGACAGCAUUCCUGUCUGCGAAGGUAGGAGCAAACCUGCUGGGCUGUGAAGGAACUGGCUGGAGCCUGAAGUCGUGCAAGCUGGGGCUGGCAGGGACAGGGCCAACUUCCAGGCCUGGGGGCCACCAUGAGGACUCAGGACGUGACCCCCAGGGCACAUGAAGGCCUUCCAUCUGUAUUUAAGAAAAGACUUUAUCAGACGAGUAUGGUGGCUUACACCCGUAAUCUCAGCAGUUUGGGAGGCCGAGGUGGGUGGAUCACGAGGUCAGGAGUUCAAGACCAGCCUGGCCAAUAUGGUAAAACCCCGUCUCUACUAAGACUACAAAAAUUAGCCAGGCAUGGUGGCACAUGCCUGUAGUCCCAGCUACUCGGGAGGCUGAGGCAGAAGAAUCACUUGAACCCGGGAGGCGGAGGUUGCAGUGAGUCAAGAUCGCGCCACUACACUCCAGCCUGGGUGACAGAGUGAGACUCCGUCUCAAAAAAAACCAAAAGACUUUAUCUUAUUUCCUAUAUGUUUGUGGUUUCAGUCCUGAUGUAUAAUUUGAUCCUAGUUAGAAUGGUUAUCUGAGGAAGUGGCCUGUACGAUUUCUGCUUUUUUAAAUGUGUGGCUCCCUUUCUUCAUUGAUUAACGUAUGAUUAUUUUUAUAAAUGUUCCAUGGCAGUGGGAAGGGAUUCCCUGUCACAUUCCACAUCUGGAUCAGUUCCUCCCCAUUUUGUUGGUCAAAUCCAGAUCUGCCAUAUCCUGUGUAAUGACAAGUGAGUUGCAUUGUCACCGUCACUCCUGGGGUCUCUCCGCUUGCCCUGAGCUGCCUCAGCAUCUGCUCCAUGUGUUUUGAUGCAGGGUGACCCACUGGUAUUCCCAACACUAACACCCCCGUCUGCGGACUGCUUGCUGCUUGGGCUUCACUGUGUCUGGUGUUGACAGUGCAAACCUAAAGGUGUGCACACAUGUGCACACACACUCCUCAGUCUUCUUGUUUGCACUGGACUCAAAUAUCUAUGAGGGUUAUUUUCAGCUGCUGAAUUUGGAAUGAUUUUUGUAUCUUUUCUGCUUUCUGCCCAUGUACAUGUGUUUAUUUUACACUGUUGUGAUUGGUAGUUACUAUGUGGGGACACAAUUACUUGGGCUGAAAUAAUCCACCUGUUCUGGUUGGGGUCCUCUGGGGCAUUCCAGAGUGAGAGGUUGUCACUGCCAUCUGGGCCAUGUGGGCCGGCACCAGCGUUUUGUGGUUAUGAAUUGUACAGUCACAAAUAUCUUUGGGCAAAUCCCCUUCUAUACCUCAAGGCAGCUUUUGGUUUGCAACCCCACUGGCCAGAGGGAAGGGCCAGUCACUUGGCUCUCCUCACCGCCCUGCGCCCUAGAUGGUUCUAGGGCUGCUGUUUUCCCUCGGCCCUGCCAACACCACUGUUUUUACUUCUGCUCAUUGGCUGAGUGCAGUGGUUCCUGGAAGCCGGUGGCACGUUUCCCCGCAUAGCUCGCUCAUCCCACAGCACACACCCGAGGGUCCUGUUGCUAACACGCUGAAUUAAUUCUUUGCUCAUCUUACAGAGUGUGUUUUGACUGCCCCCAUUUCUGAGGCCUUGUAAGGCCAGAGCUUUGUUGCUUCAUCGGCAGGUUGGGACUUAGAUGGCCGUGAACUUUUCCUCUCUGCUGCUGCAGUAAGUAAGUGCCCGCACCAUGGUAUGUUUGGGGGCUGAAGUUGAAGUGAGGCUGUGAGGGGAGAUGGACGUGUGAGGAGGGAUGGGGCAUGAGCGAGGUGGGGGAGGGGGCAAAGGCAGUUGGCCCAGCAGGUUCCCCACCCCUUUGAGAGGUCUGAGGCCUGCAGGCCUGGCUCGGAGCCCACCUGAUAGUCCUCGGACCGUGUGUACGUGUGUGUGUGCGCGCGCGUGCGUGCGUGUAAGAGAGAAGUUGUGGAGAAAUGGGGGGCUGAUUCUGCUCAGAUUCAUCAGGAUGAGUAGAAGGCACCCAGCUCUCACCCUGGCCUGACAUGUGUGUCCCUGAGCAGGUUACAGCCCUCUCUGAGCCUCUGCUUCUCAUCUGGACCCUGCUGGGGAGGGCUUCGGAGCUCCUUAGCACUAGCAGGGGGGCUCCAGGGGCCCUCCCUCCAUGGCAGCCAGGACAGGACUCUCAAAUGAGAACAGCAGAGCUCGUGGGGGGCUCCCACGGACCCGCCGUGGGCCCAGGGGAGGCAGAGCCUGGGCCAAGAGCAGUGGUGCUGUGGACCGUGGAUCCUGAGGGUGGCCUGGGGCAAGUACUGCUGAGGGUCCAGGUGGGCUUCGUGUACCUUUGGGUCCUGGGGCCCUGGUGACUUGGACCUGUCCUCCCCAGAACUUGGACUCCAGUUUAGAGUCAAGUGACAGGAGAGAGGCUGGUGGGGCCCUGUGCUUCCGACUUCAUUUCGAGUGAUGGCAGUUCCCAGGAAGGAAUCCACAGCUGACGGUGGCUGACAGAUCAGAGAACGGAAGGCAAGGCAGGCGGGCGUCUGCGUGACCUCAGGUGCUUGGGGCCCAGCAGACCCAGAGAACCAUUUCCACUAGGCCAGGGUGCCGGAAGUGCCCACAGGUCUUAGAUUCCCUGUUCAGAUGAAAAGAUUUGUGCCUUUAAUUAUGAAAGUGAUCUGCAUAGAGUCAAAAAUUCAAGCCAUGGGUAUAAAAUGCAAGUAAAAUCCCUGCCCUCACCUAUCCCACCCUACUACACAGAGAUGUCCUCUCAAGUUUCCUAGACUCUUUCUGGAAAUUUCUGUGUACACACAGAAGCUUGUGCCUCUGCUUGUGAAGGCCGAGGGGGAUAGAGCUGAAGGGCCAGCACCUUCUCACCUGUGGGCCCCCUCAGUGCUCGGUCCCAGAACAUGCAGGACCGUGCCUCAUGUUCAGUUUGCUGGUCUGACUUCAUGCUCCUCGGUCGGAUAUGUAUGUGCCAUGCUGGGAGACAUGUGGCUGUGAAGCUGGGGGACACUGUCCCCUGGCUGUGCCUUUGCAAGGGGAGUAAGGAAGGCAGGAGGUGAGCCUGGGAGGGAGGGAGGCGCGGAGCCGCCGCAGGUGUUUCUUUUACUGAAUGUGGCCCAUGGCCACACUCAGGUUUUGCUUUUCACCUUCCAAUCUGUGAAAGAGUGAGCAGGAAAAAGCAAAA